UAAUUGAAGAGUUUGAUCAUGGCUCAGAUUGAACGCUGGCGGCAGGCUUAACACAUGCAAGUCGAGCGGUAACACAGGA
rnacentral:rRNA from 1 species